CACCAGCUCUCCGAGUGGUAGGGAUGUUUAUUGGGCUUAAAGCGUCCGUAGCCGGCUUAGCAAGUCUCCUGUUAAAUUCAGCGACCUAAUCGUUGAGCCGCGGGAGAUACUGCUAGGCUAGGAGGCGGGAGAGGUCAACGGUACUUCCGGGGUAGGGGUGAAAUCCUAUAAUCCCGGGAGGACCACCAGUGGCGAAGGCUGUUGACUAGAACGCGCUCGACGGUGAGGGACGAAAGCUGGGGGAGCGAACCGGAUUAGAUACCCGGGUAGUCCCAGCUGUAAACGAUGCGAGCUAGGUGUUGGGGUGGCUACGUGCCACUUCAGUGCCGCAGGGAAGCCAUUAAGCUCGCCGCCUGGGGAGUACGGCCGCAAGGCUGAAACUUAAGGAAUUGGCGGGGAGCACCACAAGGCGUGAAGCUUGCGGUUC
rnacentral:rRNA from 1 species